rnacentral:rRNA from 1 species
AUGAACGCUGGCGGCGUGCCUAAUACAUGCAAGUCGAGCGAACAGACGAGGAGCUUGCUCCUUUGACGUUAGCGGCGGCCGGGUGAGUAACACGUGGAUAACCUACCUAUAAGACUGGGAUAACUUCGGGAAACCGGAGCUAAUACCGGAUAACAUGUUGAACCGCAUGGUUCAACAGUGAAAGACGGUCUUGCUGUCACUUAUAGAUGGAUCCUCGCCGCAUUAGCUAGUUGGUAAGGUAACGGCUUACCAAGGCAACGAUGCGUAGCCGAACUGAGGGGGUGAUCGGCCACACGGGAACUGAGACGCGGUCCAGACUACUACGGGAGGCAGCAGUAGGGAAUCUGCCGCAAUGGGCGGAAGCCUGACGGAGCAACGCCGCGUGAGUGGAGGAGGUCUUCGGAUCGGAAAGCUCUGUUAUUAGGGAAGAACAAAUGUGUAAGUAACUAUGCACGUCUUGACGGUACCGGAUCAGAAAGCCACGGCUAACUACGUG